rnacentral:misc_RNA from 1 species
AACUCUCAAACCUCAUCUUCAUUGAUGACGGGCUUGGAUUUGGACGUUGCUGGACUUCACGGUCCGGCUCGUCUUGAAUGCAUUAGCUGACGAUUUCGACUUCAGUUAAACCGUGUGAUAAUACAUCAACGCGGGCAGCCGUCAAGGCGCUGGGUCGUCAUUCGAAGGCUUCUAACCGUCCCUUCGAGGACCGCCUUUACUGGCGUUUCAUUUCAC